rnacentral:sRNA from 1 species
GGGAGCUGGCCUGGAGGAGGUAGAUAGCGGUCCUGGACUGAAUCGGCCUUAUGAACCCGCGCUUUCCCCAGCCUCCAGCCUAGCAUACUGACACCUACCCCCACCCCAACCUGAUCGCCAGACCUCAGGGUUUUCCAGAGCUGAAGAAUGACACAUUCCUGCGAGCAGCCUGGGGAGAGGAAACAGACUACACUCCCGUUUGGUGCAUGCGCCAGGCAGGCCGUUACUUACCAGAGUUUAGGGAAACCCGGGCUGCCCAGGACUUUUUCAGCACGUGUCGCUCUCCUGAGGCCUGCUGUGAACUGACUCUGCAGGUGAGGGGUCCACAAAAGAGGGAAAGAUUUAUGCCUUCAGUCUUCCACCUAGCAACCUGUCUCCUGUUUCCUACAGCCACUGCGUCGCUUCCCUCUGGAUGCUGCCAUCAUUUUCUCCGACAUCCUUGUUGUACCCCAGAUGUUUUCUCCUUCUCCAGGCACUGGGCAUGGAGGUGACCAUGGUACCUGGCAAAGGACCCAGCUUCCCAGAGCCAUUAAGAGAAGAGCAGGACCUAGAAUGCCUACGGGAUCCAGAAGUGGUAGCCUCUGAGCUAGACUAUGUGUUCCAAGCCAUCACCCUUACCCGACAACGACUGGCUGGACGUGUGCCGCUGAUUGGCUUUGCUGGUGCCCCAUGGACCCUGAUGACAUACAUGGUUGAGGGUGGUGGCUCAAGCACCAUGGCUCAGGCCAAGCGCUGGCUCUAUCAGAGACCUCAGGCUAGUCACCAGCUGCUUCGCAUCCUCACUGAUGCUCUGGUCCCAUAUCUGGUAGGACAAGUGGCGGCUGGUGCCCAGGCAUUGCAGCUGUUUGAGUCCCAUGCAGGGCAUCUUGGCCCACAGCUCUUCAGCAAGUUUGCACUGCCCUACAUCCGUGAUGUGGCCAAGCAAGUGAAGGCCAGGUUGCGGGAGGCAGGUCUGGCACCAGUGCCCAUGAUCAUCUUUGCUAAGGAUGGGCAUUUUGCCCUGGAGGAGCUGGCCCAAGCUGGCUAUGAGGUGGUUGGGCUUGA